AUCCCAUGAUGAAGACAGGCAAGGAUGUACUCUUGCAGUCUCUCCCAAGCUUCUGGGAUGGAUUCCAUCCCUGUUUGCUGGAAGAUUGAUAUCUUCCUGCGCAGGGC